UAGUAGUCCUUGAAUAAAAGGUUCUGUGUAUAGUCAUAAAGAGAGGACAGUCCUCUCAAUUCUUUCAUUGACAACUUAAGUUUCUUUUUAAUGUCGUUUAUUAUAUGGUUAACACGUGAACAACAUGGAUUUUAACUAUGCAGAUUUACUUCUGCCUCUGCCAUUCUAGAGACAGCAAGAUUAACUCCUCCUUCUCCCCUUUCUCAGCCUACUCAACUUGAAGACAAGAAAGAAGUUCUUUAUGAUGACCACUUCUACUUAGUGAAUAGUUUCCUUUUCAGAUGCAUUAUCUUCCCUUCUUCACAGUGGAGAUCAUCUGUCAGAUUUCUGCUCACUCACCAAGCUCUUGCAUAUGAACUACAGCAUCAUUGAGGCUCUCCUGUACCUGCAAUGCUACGUCUCCAGGAACAUGAUGCAGAGGAAAUCACUUCACAGAAGGGGUCAAGGAUGGUGAUGCUGUUCUACAUGAGGAAGAGACACAGGUAUACAAUGAGUGAAGGCAUGGAAUGGAGGAAGAAUCAAGCCAUUGGUUCAACUGGAGCUGUAUGGAUUAGCACGGAAGCCACUAUACCUGGGUGGCUCUGGAAUACUUGAAAGUGUUGGACUGGAGCACGAGGUAAUUUCAAGAGAAGAGAAGUAAGUUCAAAUAAGAGCAUCAAGGGCAUUAAAUACCUGACUAAGUAAUUCAUAUAAUACUUGCCAGCUGGUGGGAAUUCAUUGAUUUUUGAGUAGAGAAAUAAAAUAGAAUACCAAGGGAACAUUAAUCUAGUAGCAGGGGCAUAUUUCAAUUUCCAGUUCCUUAUUCAUGAUAAAACAUUGCUCCAGACCUUAAUGAUAAUUCAUUUUAUAGCUUUUCAGUUGAAAUUUUGCCAAAGGAAAAAAUGAUUUGUGUCACUGUGCUUAUUUACUCAUUUUCAGAUAGAUCCUAGGUAGAUUAAUGCACUCCAUUUCUCCUUAUAGAAACCUUGUUACCUUUUCUCCAAAUCACUUAUGUUGGUAUAAUUGCAUAGUGAGCUCUCUUUGAUAAAUCUUACCCAAUUGAAGAGAAGCAAAGUGACUCUCAUUAUUUUCCUACUCAGAGAUGUCCCAGCAGCCUUUCUCACCCUUUAUACUGGGCAUGCAGGGAAUAUUUGCAGGGAAGGAUGUUGAGGUAUCAUUCGGUAUAAUCACAGCAGUACAUGGUGGUUGUAGGAUUUCCAAAAAUUGUUGCUUAUGUUUCUGCAAUGAAUUCAAACAUAUGGGUGCAUUUGGGGGAUGUGGUGCCAUAUUUAUAACAAAUGUUUUAUUCAAAUUUUAAUAUCUAAAAAUUAUAAAAUGUGAAUAUUUACUGAGCUUCAUCUGAUUGUCCCAAGCUUUCAUUUUAGAUAAAUGACUUAGGUGUUUUAAUCGCUCUUUGCUCUCUGUUUCUUUUCUGUCAUAUUUGCUUCUGUUGUUUUGUGCUUAGUAUGAAACCAUAGAAUUCUGUGCCUACCUGAUGCAUUCCACAUGAGCAAAACCUAUUUCUCAUUCCAACACCCCUUCUUCUUUCAGAU